rnacentral:rRNA from 1 species
GAGACAGCAGCAGCCGCGGUAAUACGUAGGUCCCGAGCGUUGUCCGGAUUUAUUGGGCGUAAAGCGAGCGCAGGCGGUUAGAUAAGUCUGAAGUUAAAGGCUGUGGCUUAACCAUAGUACGCUUUGGAAACUGUUUAACUUGAGUGCAAGAGGGGAGAGUGGAAUUCCAUGUGUAGCGGUGAAAUGCGUAGAUAUAUGGAGGAACACCGGUGGCGAAAGCGGCUCUCUGGCUUGUAACUGACGCUGAGGCUCGAAAGCGUGGGGAGCAAACAGGAUUAGAGACCCCCGUAGUCCCUGUCUCUUAUACA